CACAAUGGGCGCAAGCCUGAUGCAGCAUGCCGCGUGUGUGAAGAAGGCCUUCGGGUUGUAAAGUACUUUCAGCGGGGAGGAAGGGAGUAAAGUUAAUACCUUUGCUCAUUGACGUUACCCGCAGAAGAAGCACCGGUAAACUCCGUGCCAGCAGCCGCGGUAAUACGGAGGGUGCAAGCGUUA
rnacentral:rRNA from 1 species